GGUUCAUCGAGACUGAGGAUAUCUGGGUUGUUGUCAACAAUUUCAAUCCGAUGGAAAGCCGCUUGCAUUCGCCAACCGAUAACGAACCGAUUUGCGUUAAGCCCAAUGUUUUCAUCACCAAUUCCACCUGUCCAGUUCGAUAGUAGCGGCCGCCAUCAUGUAUUCGUCGACGGCAAGAUUUGACAGGAGAUGAUCUUCUUGAGUGAUGAAGGCAGAAUGUUUACGGAAUGUUUUGAGCUUUCGAUCAACGCCAUUCACCUGGAUUUGGCCUUCUACUCCGCUAGUCCUGACGUUUACAUUUUUAAAAAAUUCUGUUGACGCAUUUACUUUUCUCUUUCAAUAAUGUAAUGAAAUAACUUACUUUAGGCCAGGUAAAGUGAAGAUUUACCCGCUCCAGACGGCCCUAAAAUGGCGGUCAAAUGGCCAGACUUGAACGUGCCGCUCAUCCCGUGCAACAUUCUUUUGGCAUUUUCCCCUAACAGAAUGAAUAAAAUUAAGGCCGAGGUUGCCCAAAAUGCUGUGCGUCUCGAUGCCUGCAGGCAGCGUGUGGUACGAGAGAAAAUAACGGUAAAACUCACCACUGUCAUUGCGGAUGUUACGUAAAACUUUAAUGGCGGAUGAGGGGUAUUACUAUUACCUUU